rnacentral:rRNA from 1 species
AUGUGGCUGCUUAAAAAGGUAAACAAGCUGCUCCGUGGCUUCCUUUGGGCUCAGGAUGAGGAGGCCACGGCUAGUAAAUGCUUGGUGAACUGGUCUGCUGUCUCCCGCCCGCGCGAGUUCGGUGGUCUUGGCAUCCCGGACAUUCAGAAGCAAGGGAGAGCUCUGCGCUGCCGCUGGCAAUGGUAUCACUGGACGGAUCCUACUGGGCCAUGGCAUACUUUGCCCUUGCCCGCGGACCCUUCUGCCGACGGGCUCUUU